rnacentral:rRNA from 1 species
GACGAACGCUGGCGGCGUGCUUAACACAUGCAAGUCGAACGGAAAGGCCCUGCCUUUGUGGGGUGCUCGAGUGGCGAACGGGUGAGUAACACGUGAGUAACCUGCCCUUGACUUUGGGAUAACUUCAGGAAACUGGGGCUAAUACCGGAUAGGAGCUCCUGCUGCAUGGUGGGGGUUGGAAAGUUUCGGCGGUUGGGGAUGGCCUCGCGGCAUAUCAGCUUGUUGGUGGGGUAGUGGCUUACCAAGGCGUUGACGGGUAGCCGGCCUGAGAGGGUGACCGGCCACAUUGGGACUGAGAUACGGCCCAGACUCCUACGGGAGGCAGCAGUGGGGAAUAUUGCACAAUGGGCGGAAGCCUGAUGCAGCAACGCCGCGUGCGGGAUGACGGCCUUCGGGUUGUAAACCGCUUUCGCCUGUGACGAAGCGUGAGUGACGGUAAUGGGUAAAGAAGCACCGGCUAACUACGUG